rnacentral:rRNA from 1 species
AUUGAACGCUGGCGGCAUGCCUUACACAUGCAAGUCGAACGGUAACGGGCCUUCGGGUGCCGACGAGUGGCGAACGGGUGAGUAAUACAUCGGAACGUGCCCGAUCGUGGGGGAUAACGAGGCGAAAGCUUUGCUAAUACCGCAUACGAUCUACGGAUGAAAGCAGGGGACCGCAGGGCCUUGCGCGGACGGAGCGGCCGAUGGCAGAUUAGGUAGUUGGUGGGAUAAAAGCUUACCAAGCCGACGAUCUGUAGCUGGUCUGAGAGGAUGAUCAGCCACACUGGGACUGAGACACGGCCCAGACCCCUACGGGAGGCAGCAGUGGGGAAUUUUGGACAAUGGGCGCAAGCCUGAUCCAGCCAUGCCGCGUGCAGGAUGAAGGCCUUCGGGUUGUAAACUGCUUUUGUACGGAACGAAAAGCCUUCUUUUAAUACAGGAGGGUCAUGACGGUACCGUAAGAAUAAGCACCGGCUAACUACGUG